rnacentral:rRNA from 1 species
UACGUAGGGUGCGAGCGUUAAUCGGAAUUACUGGGCGUAAAGCGUGCGUAGGCGGCCCGCUAAGUCGAACGUGAAAUCCCCGAGCUCAACUCGGGAACUGCAUUUGUGACUGCAUAGCUAGAGUACGGUAGAGGGGGAUGGAAUUCCGCGUGUAGCAGUGAAAUGCGUAGAUAUGCGGAGGAACACCGAUGGCGAAGGCAGGUCUCUGGGCCAUAACUGACGCUGAGAAGCGAAAGCAUGGGGAGCGAACAGG